rnacentral:rRNA from 1 species
AAUGAACGCUGGCGGCAUGCCUUACACAUGCAAGUCGAACGGCAGCAUGACCUAGCUUGCUAGGUUGAUGGCGAGUGGCGAACGGGUGAGUAAUGCAUCGGAACGUGCCUUUUAGUGGGGGAUAACGUAGCGAAAGUUACGCUAAUACCGCAUAUUCUCUGAGGAGGAAAGCAGGGGGCCUUCGGGCCUUGCGCUAGAAGAGCGGCCGAUGUCGGAUUAGCUAGUUGGUGAGGUAAAGGCUCACCAAGGCAACGAUCCGUAGCGGGUCUGAGAGGAUGAUCCGCCACACUGGGACUGAGACACGGCCCAGACUCCUACGGGAGGCAGCAGUGGGGAAUUUUGGACAAUGGGCGCAAGCCUGAUCCAGCCAUGCCGCGUGAGUGAAGAAGGCCUUCGGGUUGCAAAGCUCUUUCGGCUGGGAAGAAAUCGCACUCUCUAAUACAGGGUGUGGAUGACGGUACCAGCAUAAGAAGCACCGGCUAACUACGUG